GGGCCUAUAGCUCAGUUGGUCAGAGCUGCGGACUCAUAAUCCGUUGGUCCCAGGUUCAAGUCCUGGUGGGCCCA
rnacentral:tRNA from 1 species